rnacentral:rRNA from 1 species
UGCGUAGGCGGACUAAUAAGUCAGUGGUGAAAUCUCAUAGCUUAACUAUGAAACUGCCAUUGAUACUGCAGGUCUUGAGUAAGGUAGAAGUAGCUGGAAUAAGUAGUGUAGCGGUGAAAUGCAUAGAUAUUACUUAGAACACCAAUUGCGAAGGCAGGUUACUAUGUCUUAACUGACGCUGAUGGACGAAAGCGUGGGGAGCGAACAGGAUUAGAUACCCUGGUAGUCC